GGCCCAAUGGUUAUUUGUAUGAUAAAGAAGCCAUUUUAGAAUACAUACUACAGAAGAAGCAGGAUAUUAAAAAGAAGAUUAAAGAAUAUGAAACACAGAAGAAAAAAGAAGAGACUGAAGCCUUAACUUCUUUAGAAUCCAAAAUAAAAGAGAAGAAAAAAGCUUUUGUAGCACAAGGAAGUCAAUGAAGGUACCUUAACACAGUUGUGAUAUGUUCCCUAAUCGGGCUUAGAGACCAAGCGGGCAGCUGCAUUCUGAACUCGCUGAAAUUUUGAAAUAUCCUUAACUGGCAAACCAUAAAGCAAUUACUAACAACAGUCUAGCCUUGAUGUUACAAAAGCAUGAACGAGAAUCUCAGUUGAUCUAGGUUCUAGCAUGUCCAAUCAGGUACACUAAUAAAAACAUGAAUACAUUUUAAAACCUUUAU